AUUGUUAUCAUGUAUAAAAAAUGGUAGAUUCCUUUCAUUAUAACUAAUAAUAACUACAGUUUGAAUGGUUUGUUAAUUUAUUACUUAACAGUGUGUUUAGAAAGAAGUGUAUGACAAAAUGCCACCAAAAGUUGAGUUUUUUUGUUUUUCUUUUUUUUUUUUUUUCUUAAUCUUUUCUCAAGUCAAGCAUUUUAACUAUUAUGGUAACAAUGCUCAAAGAGCAUUUCCAGAGAGAAUAUUUUCUUGAUUCCACUUAGAUAGUCUUCAAACUAGAUAAUCUGGUCCAUAUUCUGAAUUCAAAUGUCUGAGUCUCCAUAAAAUAAGGAGAUAUCUAUGUGGCAGUCUGUCUGAAAGUAAAGAAAAAAACUGUUAAGACCUCAAUAUCAGGACGUAACUCCAAAUUUUCUUGUGUAAGAGAUCCCUGACCAAAUUCAAGAAACAAUUUUUAGUUUUAAAAAGUUGGGUAACACUCUGUUGUUCCAUGUGGGUUUUAGCUGAGCUGUUCAUCAGACUCUGAGCCCUCUUGUUGUCUCUACGCUCAACCCAAAACAGAGCUCGAUGCUUCAUUCAUCGGCAUGUUAAAAAUGAGGGAACAGUUCUGCAGUGAUAGAAGUGUUUUCCAUUUUGAUGUGGUUAUCAACGGUCCUAAAGAAAGCUCUGUUUCCCAGGAUCUCUUUUUAAAGUUCCCCAAAAGCUCUUACUUUGCGUCAUAUCUACAGGCACAACUAGACUGAGGAUUCAGAUGUACACUGACUCCCCCGUGUUCUUAUUCCUGGCUGGGCUCUAUAGUCACCUGAGGAGCUUUAGAAAGUACUGAAGCCUGGGUCUCAACCAGAGUGAUCUGAACUUAAUUGGUCUGGUGAGUAGCUAGGUCAUUAGAAGCGUUUAAGAACCUUCCCAUGAGAUUACAAUGUGCAGCUGAGUUUGAGACCAAUGUUUACAGUUAUUUACAGGUGAAUCCAUUAAAAAAGGCUGAUAACAAUGAAAUCAGUGUAGGUGUCACACAUUCCAAGAGUAUUAGCGCAUGGGAAAUGGUAAAGUGUUUAUUCUCAUUAGAAUGGAUUUGUGUGUAUGUGUGUGGUUGCGACCAUGGCAGAGAUGGAACUACCAAGGUAAAAUCUGCUUUAUGGAUUUGUCAUAAUCCUGGUGAUAAUGUGUUUGUGGCAAACUUGCACUUAUAGAAGCUUAUAGAAGUUCACUUGGUCAGGUUCUUAUCCUCUCUUUCAUUCUACUGCAUUGGUUCCUGCACCAGAAUUCCUGAGGACGGAUGAUGUACCAGCCAUCAUGCAGGAACAGAAACACAACUGUGAAUGAACAUAAAGUUUCUUCUGAUCCUAAGGUUAAAGAACCCACAAAAGUUUUCUUGAGCAUGGAUUACCUACAGUGAUCGUGGCUUCUUGAUUCCCAGAUUAUAUCACAAUGGAGGAGUCUUUUCUCCACAGCUCAUGAGACACUGAACUCUCCAAACCCCUGGACUGUUUUCCUUUGAAUAAAGGACGUCAAACCCUUUGCUAAAUUGUUUUGGUCUCAUCAUUUGGUGGUUUGGCAAUGAGAUGGGACCUGAAGACAACUGUUGAAGAGGCUGGGGCCGGCUCCUGUUGCUCCUAGUGGAGACACACAGGUAUCCCUUUUGGUUUGCUGCCUCUUCAGCUGUUCUCUGGGAUCUCUAGUUCCAACAUACUGGGAAGAGACGUGACCCAGAGGAACACCCCUCAUCCCUGACUGACAACAUUACUUGUUCGCUUCAUUUUCCUCUCUGCACUAUGUGGGCCUCCAUUAUGGGAAAGUUAUUUUGCAAGAGGAGUGUGUUCCUUACUUCAGCGGGAAGGAAGCAAUAAACCAAGGCACUGGUCAGACUCAAGAAACCUAUGAGUUGCUGUGACUCUUCUGGACCUGCACACCUCCAUCGACCUAGGGAGUGUGGACACCAUCUGCAGGAGCCCCAGGAAGGCCACGGAAGGGGCAGUGGCUCCCCAGGAAGUUAUUGGGAAGAGGAGAAGCUGAAGGGGUGUAGGGAGGACCUGUUCUUCAGAUCCCACCUCUCAACUGAGAAGGGGGCAACUGAACUCGUAAUCACCGCCAAGAAAUUCAUGAUGCAAACUUCCAGCAAUAUCUUUUGAAAAUUUAAGUAUUUAAAUUCCUUUUAUCUUCCAGUUUUAAUUUCGUAAAUGUUGUACAUUUUCUACCUUGUUCUGUCUCAGCUAUCAUGUGCAUUCUUGUCAGCAGGGAGGCUGCUGGAAAAGAGACAGGAUGAUUCUUCCUGAGCCAGGGGCAGAGGAGAAGUUUCUCCUCUCACAUUCCCAAGCCCACAGCUCCCUGCUCUUCGGGCAGCAGGAACAACACAUUAGAGCCCACAAUUACUGUGGUGGGCGCCAUCCCAUCACUCUAGCACAAAUGCUUUCAGCCUGACCCCUUUCCUAGAAGCAGGUAGUAGGAACAGAGAUCAUCUAAGGGGUGCUGGCUGCCCAAAGUUGCAGGAAAUGUUAUUGUCACUGUCUCAGCUCCACACCGGGAAGGCAAGACAAGAUAAUCAGCCCCCGGUGUCCACUCUUAGAACUGGAUGUCACUUCAUGAAAAGUGUCUUCUUGUCUCUAAUUCAGGUGCAAAGACACUGGGGAUUUUCCAGGGGAAAAAAUAGGCCAUAAUGACUCAAAGCUUUGCUGCUUGGCCUAGAGGGACUGACUUUAUAUAGAACAGAAAGGGGAGAAAUCUAUGACCAUCAAAGUGAAAACACAACCACAUGGGGAAGAUUUCUGCAAAUUAUUUGGCUGAUAAGAGACUUGUAUCUAGAACAUAUGAAGAACAAUUACAACUCAAUAAUAAAAAGAUAAAUAGCUCAGUUUAAAAAUGGGCAAAAGAACAAAAUAGAGAAUCCUGAAAUAAAUGCACACAUAUAUGUUCCCUCACUUUCCAAAAGCAAUUCAAAGAAUAUUUAAUGGUGAGAGAGUACUUUAGUAGCAAAUGAUGCUGAAAAAAAAAAAUGGAUACUCAAUUGCUAAAAUUAAUAUGAUUCCAUAUAUCACAUCACAUAUAAAAACUUACUCAAGAUGGAUCAUAAACCUUAAUACAAAA